AAAUAAUUAAUUCUCCGAGCUUUAUUCCCUAAAGAUCAGUUUAGAUUUAUGGGAAGAAAGCCGAUGGGUUUGAUGAGAAAUCAUCAAGCCUCCCACGUCCUGAUAUAUCAGGACAAAUUGGAAAGGAGAGGUUGAACUUGAAGG
rnacentral:ncRNA from 2 species